UGUUAGUUUAGUUCAUUAAAAAUGAGAAGUAGACGAGUUGUGUUAACUCUUACAAGCCUUGGAAAAGAUACGUCUGUGGGGACAUUGUCGAUUGUCAUGUUCGGAUGUACAUUGCAGACGCCAUCUUUGCUCCACAGCCUAGUACCUGACUGCCCCCUAGCCAGGGAUACGGUGAAGACCUCAACGGCGGUAGAUUUAAGAACUACCACAACGGCUGUAAAGGUAGCAGAAGGCUGCAGCAGAAAAGGGUCCCAGGCGUUUUGGACUCCAUGCCACUGGACCCUGACCCCGAUUCUGUCAAGGAUCGUGGAGUGACUGCCUGUGCCCCAGUCUCCCCACGUAAAACAAAGUCAUGCACAGGCAACCACCAUAAAGGGAUACACCCUUACCAGGAGGAUCGUCAUACUUGUUCGAGUGACCCCCUUGGAUCUAGCAUAAUAUUGUGAGAG